AUUGAACGCUGGCGGCAUGCCUUACACAUGCAAGUCGAACGGUAACAGGUUAAGCUGCCGAGUGGCGAACGGGUGAGUCAUACAUCGGAACGUGCCCAGUAGUGGGGGAUAGCCCGGCGAAAGCCGGAUUAAUACCGCAUACGACCUAAGGGUGAAAGGGGGGGAUCGCAAGACCUCUCGCUAUUGGAGCGGCCGAUGUCAGAUUAGCUAGUUGGUGGGGUAAAAGCUCACCAAGGCGACGAUCUGUAGCUGGUCUGAGAGGACGACCAGCCACACGGGGACUGAGACACGGCCCAGACUCCUACGGGAGGCAGCAGUGGGGAAUUUUGGACAAUGGGCGCAAGCCUGAUCCAGCCAUGCCGCGUGCGGGAAGAAGGCCUUCGGGUUGUAAACCGCUUUUGUCAGGGAAGAAAUCCUUUGGGUUAAUACCUCGGGGGGAUGACGGUACCUGAAGAAUAAGCACCGGCUAACUACGUG
rnacentral:rRNA from 1 species